AUGGGAGCGGAGACGAGCCUCUCCCCGUCGCCGCUGGAUCCGACCAUGUCGCGGGAUCGAGAGAACCAACAAAACAACGAUCUGGAGUCGGUGUCGUUCGGGCGAUUUCUAUCAGAGCCACUUCAGUGGGAUACCACGGCGCAUGUCUGGCCGGCACCAAUGGCUACCAUAGCGCAUGUGCAAUCACCGCCGGCAGCUGAGCUCGAUUUAUCGGUACAUGUCAAUAUUUUGUGCCAGUUGCAGUGGUCGGACCUCAAUCUGCCUCCUCCAAUUGCGGUGCUACUUGCAUUGGUAGUUCUGGACCAGACCAGAGUUGUUGUAGUCCAUGCUUGCCAGCAGCUCGAAGUGCAACCCAUAUGGGAGGAGCGGAGCUCUAUAUGGUGUGCAUUUUUGCCCAACACAGGAUGGCGUGCAAGGAGAAUAUGA
rnacentral:rRNA from 1 species